UACGUAGGGUGCAAGCGUUGUCCGGAAUUACUGGGCGUAAAGGGCGCGUAGGCGGCCUGCUAAGUCGAACGUGAAAUCCCCGAGCUCAACUCGGGAACUGCGUCCGAUACUGGCAGGCUUGAAUCCGGGAGAGGGAUGCGGAAUUCCAGGUGUAGCGGUGAAAUGCGUAGAUAUCUGGAGGAACACCGGUGGCGAAGGCGGCAUCCUGGACCGGCAUUGACGCGUGAGGCGCGAAAGCCAGGGGAGCAAACGGG
rnacentral:rRNA from 1 species